AGGGACGUAAAAUCAGAUCUGUGGCUGAGAAUCAGUGUCCUAAUACCACGCAAGGACGAGAGCCUGGAGCAGCUUUCUUCUUCUCUGACUUCCUGGCACAUGUGCUCUGGCGACUGCAUGUCGUACUAAUUUCAGUGGCUUACUGGGAAUGAAGGGUAAUGCGCAGUUCCGUCGUGAGUGCGUCUGUGCCAUGACCGCCGCCCUCAGGUGUGCUUAGAGAUGUAUGUCCCGAGGCCAGGUGGCAGUGCGGUAAUGGAACGGGACCUGCGUGUGAAGGGCCCUGGGUUCCGGCCCUGGGGCCUCCCUGUCACACAUACGCAUGCCUAUAACUGGGCUGGCUGGGAGUGGAGAUGGGUCAUGGCGUGAAGACCCUGGCAAGGAGAACAAAGCAUCCCUCUGAAAGAAGGUUCGAUCGACCGUGAGAAUAUGCGUGGGACAGACCACAGAGCAGAUAAGGACCGUAGCUGUCCACGCAGACGGUGUGCAGUGGAACACUGCCCUGUGAGCAGUCCACGUGGGACGUCCCCAGGUUCACGCAGGACACACGCUGGCCGGGAUCCCAGCCAUUGCAGGGACGGAUGGAUCGUGGCGUGAAGUUCCUGCUGGAGGUGCUUCUUUCUGUAUCUCUGUCUCU